AAAGAGAGAGGCAGGGAAGUGUCAGGAACUAUGAGCACCAAGCUCAGCUUGAGCUUCAGGCAAUGCUUCGUGACAGGGAGCCAGCUAUGAUCUGAAGUCUGAGUAAGGGCCGGACAGGGAAGGCGUGAGCCCCAAUCCAGAAGAGGAACAGGAUGAGUAAAGAAUUUGGACCAAAAUAGCAUGUGCUUGCCACUUCCUACAGCCUCUGAGAAAAGAAAUAUUCAGCAAGGAGUAUCUUGAUCCUAAGGACCCAUAUCAAUGUCCUUCCUCUGCCGGAUAUUCACCAGGACCCAUUUCCUCCGUAAAUUCUAGGGCUCCAAACCACCCACCCCACAUGCAAGGUGAUGAGAAGUAGAGAGAUGAGAAGAUGAGAGGUGCUCAGAGCACUGGUAGAUGAAUGGAUAGUCAGACAGAGGGAUGGACAGAUUUGUCAGGAUGGCAAAAGACGGAAUCCUUGGAGCUCCCAGAGUGUGUGUGUCUGUGCCACGUGGACUUUUCUGUGAAGGCAGAAUUGGCCUGAGCAACAACACUCCCGACCCCAGACCUGUUAUGAGAGCUGUUGUGGAGAGCACUGAGAAGGGGUCAUCUCUGCAGGACUCUGGAGCCUCUGCAGGGAGUCAAGCAGCUGGGCUUGACCCAGUGAAGUGACAAGAGCUGGGAAGUCAGUGAAGACAAGGCCGCUUUGUCUGGAAGUAGCAACGCAUGGCUGGGCUGAGCCUGCCCUUGAUCAUGAAAUCUGUGGCAGCUCCAAAACUUGUUGGGGCCUGACCCUGUGUUCACUUUCUCACGCUGCCUCACCAUUGUUCCUCUGCAGCUAAAAGUCUUUCAAAUGUGUCUGCUUAUUUUUGCCUUGGCAAAUAAUUCUAUAUUUCCAAUAUUAUCUAAAAUGCUUGAAUUUUAACUCUAAAAGGAAAAAAAAAUCAUCUUUUUUUCUGCUGUAAGACAUCCGCUAGUGUUACAUUCGUAAAGAGUAGAUCUGAGACACUCAGAAAGGCUACCUCCUAUUUCAUCUCAAAUUCCACUUUGUGACAAAGCUUCCCAGAUUUCCUCAUCUCUGAAGUGGGCACAAUACUACCCACAUUACAUUCUUAUUAACAAUCCUAAAAAGGGCUUAUUUAAAUAAGAAACAUCUAGAAAUGGAUGCCAUGGAUGAAAAUUCAAUUUACAUCUAAGUUUUCAUGGAAGCAUCUGGUGGGUAGAGCGACAAAAGCCAAGAAUGGCACCCCAUGCAGGGCAGGAUGCUCUUCUCAGUUACAGAAAAACAUGGGCCUUGUAUCUUACAUAUGGCUCUGUACAGAGCUGGGAGAAAGGAACAGGCUACCCUAGCAAAUCAAAAUGGAAAUUGAGCUACAUUUGUUACAAUUCAAGCAAGAUCUGCAACUUUCAAUAGAAAAAUAUUAGUACAGGCAGUACCCAACUUGGAAAUGAACUGUCUUGCAAAAGUUCAUUUGCAAGCAGAGUGUUCAGAACCUGGAAUGCAAGGUGUCUUUUAUGUCCCAAGCCAGCCCACAAAAGGCUGAUUGAAUCUGUAAUCUAUUUGGUAUAUUACAUAAAGUAAAAAUAGAAAACAAAACAAAACAAACUGCUCUGAUAACAUUUUAAAAACAUAUAAAAAUACUUAGAAAACAAAUAUACAGCCAAUAAUUAGCCUUGACCCGAAGCCCCCACCAUGACCUGGGCCCUGGACCCCCUACAGUCCAAGUCAUAGCUGAAAUGGGGUCCUGAGAAACUGAAUGGAGAAGAAUGAGAAGAACCCCAGCCUAAAAGGGACAGGGGUUCUGGUGGGAGAAAAAAGUAGUCAGGCAUCUCUCAACUGGAAGAGAAGGGUCUGGUACCUACCCAGAAUAUAUACUCUAGCACAGAAGUGCUACUGGUCACAUCUAGAAAGACAUGGGUAUGUGAAAGAACAGUGGCCACUCUGCCUGCUACCAAAGUAGACAAAAUGAGCUGCUGCUGAAGACAAGCGAGCCAGCCACCUGGCACCGCCCUACCAGAGGGACGAGGGAUGUGAAUUCCCAGCAUGCUCUGCAGCAGCAUGGACAGCCAGGGACACUCAGAGGCCAGAAGGAAGAUGUUCCUGCAGCUGCCGGCAGUUGGUAUAGGAGCGUCCAGGGGCCGCAUGUGAUUCUGAUGGAUCUGGCUAGGUCAAGUAGGAAGUUUCUGAGCUUUACAAAAGUGAAAACUGUCCUAACUGAUAAGGUUAGUCACAUUUCUGGUAUCUUCAGAAGAGUACAGGGGACAAGAACAUAGAGACCCUGGGAACGCCUUCCCCAACACAGCACACUCACACCUUUACGGCAAAAAGGGUGCUUCAUUCCAGAUUGCUGCUGAAUCUGAUACCUGGAUCGACUCCAAAUACAAAUGUGAUGUGAAAUAUUGAAAUCAGGUUUGAAAACUGAGAUUUAUUAUGCAUCCACUUUGUACCUUCUUUAAUCCUCCAAAUAAAGUGUCAGUCUCCAGCUCAAAUUCCUGGUCCAGCUCCU
ensembl:lncRNA novel transcript, antisense to HHAT